GGCCUUUUGAUUAUAAUUUAAGGUCGGGCCUGCCCAAUGAAAAAUUUAAUGGCCGCGGUAUAUUAACUGUGCAAAGGUAGCAUAAUCAUUAGUUUUUUAAUUGAAAGCUGGAAUGAAGGGUUUAAUGAAAAAAGUUCUGUCUUUAUUUAAAUUUAUUAGAAUUUUAUUUUUAAGUUAAAAAGCUUAAAUAAUUAUUGAAGACGAGAAGACCCUAUAGAGUUUUAUAUUUUAAAAGAUUAUUGUAUUUGGUAAAUUUUAACUUAAUUUUUAAAAUUAUUUAGUUGGGGUGAUUGAAAAAUUAAAAGAACUUUUUUUUAUUGAAACAUAAAUGCAUGAAUGGAUGAUCCUUUUUUUAGAUUAAAAGAGCAAAUUACCUUAGGGAUAACAGCGUAAUUUUUUUUAGAGUUCUUAUCAAAAAAAAAGAUUGCGACCUCGAUGUUGGAUUAAAAUAAGUUUUUGGUGCAGAAGCUGAAAAACUAGGUCUGUUCGACCUUUAAAUUUUUACAUGAUCUGAGUUUAGACCGGUUUGAG
rnacentral:rRNA from 1 species